GACGAACGCUGGCGGCGUGCUUAACACAUGCAAGUCGAGCGGAGCGGCGAACGGGUGAGUAACGCGUGAGUAACUUCCCCCCUCUCUGGGAUAACAGUUGUAAACGGCUGCUAAUACCGGAUAGUGGGGGAUGACUCGCGUCCUAUCCGCUUGUUGGUGGGGUAGGGGCCUACCAAGGCGACGACGGGUAGCCGGCCUGCGAGGGCGACCGGCCACAUUGGGCUGAGAUACGGCCCAAACUCCUACGGGAGGAAGCAGUGGGGAAUAUUGCACAAUGGGGGAAACCCUGAUGCAGCAACGCGCGGGCGGGAGGACGGCCGUCGGGUUGUAAACCGCUUUCAGCCAUGAAGCGGUAGUGGCAGAAGAAGCACCGGCUAACUACGUGCCAGCAGCCGCGGUAAUAC
rnacentral:rRNA from 1 species